rnacentral:rRNA from 1 species
UCCUCACUCUGGCGGCGUGCUUAACACAUGCAAGUCGAACGGAAAGGCCCUGCUUUUGUGGGGUGCUCGAGUGGCGAACGGGUGAGUAACACGUGAGUAACCUGCCCUUGACUUUGGGAUAACUUCAGGAAACUGGGGCUAAUCCCGGAUAGGAGCUCCUGCUCCAUGGUGGGGGUUGGAAAGUUUCGGCGGUUGGGGAUGGACUCGCGGCUUAUCAGCUUGUUGGUGGGGUAGUGGCUUACCAAGGCUUUGACGGGUAGCCGGCCUGAGAGGGUGACCGGCCACAUUGGGACUGAGAUACGGCCCAGACUCCUACGGGAGGCAGCAGUGGGGAAUAUUGCACAAUGGGCGGAAGCCUGAUGCAGCAACGCCGCGUGCGGGAUGACGGCCUUCGGGUUGUAAACCGCUUUCGCCUGUGACGAAGCGUGAGUGACGGUAAUGGGUAAAGAAGCACCGGCUAACUACGUG